rnacentral:rRNA from 1 species
UUUUUAAUGAGAGUUUGAUCCUGGCUCAGAACGAACGCUGGCGGCGUGCCUAACACAUGCAAGUCGAACGGAGUCAUUUUGAAGUAGCAAUACGGAAGAAUGACUUAGUGGCGCACGGGUGAGUAACACGUAGGUAACCUGCCCUUAAGAGGGGGAAAACCCGCCGAAAGGCGAGCUAAUACCGCAUAAGACCACGAACUGAGAUGUUUGUGGUAAAAGGAGCAAUCCACUUAAGGAUGGGCCUGCGGCCUAUCAGGUAGUUGGUGAGGUAACGGCUCACCAAGCCUAAGACGGGUAGCCGGUCUGAGAGGACGGACGGCCACACUGGAACUGAGACACGGUCCAGACUCCUACGGGAGGCAGCAGUGGGGAAUUUUGCACAAUGGGCGAAAGCCUGAUGCAGCGACGCCGCGUGGAGGAUGAAGGUUUUCGGAUUGUAAACUCCUUUUGUAGGGGAAAAUAAUGAUGGUACCCUGCGAAUAAGCCACGGCUAACUCUGUGCCAGCAGCCGCGGUAAGACAGAGGUGGCGAGCGUUGUUCGGAAUUACUGGGCUUAAAGGGCGCGUAGGCGGUAAGAUAAGUCUGUGGUGAAAUCCUAUGGCUUAACCAUAGAAUUGCCAUGGAAACUGUUUUACUUGAGUCAGCGAGGGGAUGGUGGAAUUCCUGGUGUAGCAGUGAAAUGCGUAGAUAUCCGGAGGAAGGCCGGUGGCGAAGGCGGCCAU